rnacentral:rRNA from 1 species
AGCAGUAGCACGGGAAUACGUAGGUGGCGAGCGUUGUCCGGAAUCAUUGGGCGUAAAGCGUGCGUAGGCGGUUUGUUAAGUCUGCUGUGAAAUCCCCGGGCUCAACCUGGGAAUGGCAGUGGAUACUGGCUCGCUAGAGUGUGUCAGAGGAUGGUGGAAUUCCCGGUGUAGCGGUGAAAUGCGUAGAGAUCGGGAGGAACAUCAGUGGCGAAGGCGGCCAUCUGGGACAACACUGACGCUGAGGCACGAAAGCGUGGGGAGCAAACAGGAUUAGAUACCCCGGUAGUCCCUGUCUCUUAUACA